CGCCGUGUUAAUUAUUCACCUAGUGGGCGUAUGUCACUGUAAAUGAAUAGAGCUAUGUAAAGAAUGAUUUCUGUUCUGUGCCAGUGACAAAAUGCAUCUUGCGGUUGAAGACCAAGAAGAAUUAGAAAGGAUCAAGUUUCAAAGGAGGGUUUUUCCGAGCGAUUUCUGAGGCUGUUUCACAAAGAAAGCUUAGCCAGCGCCAAAUUUAUUAAAAUCGUUACCGACGGCCGUCGUUCACCGCGGCAAGGAACGCCAGGUUAUUAUUAUUACAUCGUCGAUACGAACGGAAGCAACCCCUCGCCGGAGUUACUUGUCUUCCUCUUCUCUAAGAAAAUUGAUGAGACGAAAGAUUAUUAGGAAAUGCAACAGCUUUGCC
rnacentral:misc_RNA from 1 species